rnacentral:rRNA from 1 species
UGGGGAAUAUUGCACAAUGGGCGCAAGCCUGAUGCAGCCAUGCCGCGUGUAUGAAGAAGGCCUUCGGGUUGUAAAGUACUUUCAGCGAGGAGGAAGGCAUUAAUGGUUAAGUUAAAACCCUUGGUGAUUGAACUGUUAUCUCGCAGAAGAAGCACCGGCUAACUCCGUGCCAGCAGCCGCGGUAAUACGGAGGGUGCAAGCGUUAAUCGGAAUUACUGGGCGUAAAGCGCACGCAGGCGGUCUGUCAAGUCGGAUGUGAAAUCCCCGGGCUCAGCCUGGGAACUGCAUUCGAAAACUGGCAGGCUAGAGUCUUGUAGAGGG